rnacentral:rRNA from 1 species
UACGUAGGGUGCAAGCGUUAAUCGGAAUUACUGGGCGUAAAGCGUGCGCAGGCGGUUAUGCAAGACAGAUGUGAAAUCCCCAGGCUCAACCUGGGAACUGCGUCUGAUACUGGAUGGCUUGAAUCCGGGAGAGGGAUGCAGAAUUCCAGGUGUAGCGGUGAAAUGCGUAGAUAUCUGGAGGAAUACCGGUGGCGAAGGCGGCAUCCUGGACCGGCAUUGACGCUGAGGCGCGAAAGCGUGGGGAGCAAACAGG